rnacentral:rRNA from 1 species
CCUUCGGGGGUAGAGCACUGUUUCGGCUAGGGGGUCAUCCCGACUUACCAACCCGAUGCAAACUGCGAAUACCGAAGAGUAAUGUCUAGGAGACACACGGCGGGUGCUAACGUUCGUCGUGAAGAGGGAAACAACCCAGACCGCCAGCUAAGGUCCCAAAGUACUAGUUAAGUGGGAAACGAAGUGGGAAGGCUUAGACAGCUAGGAUGUUGGCUUAGAAGCAGCCAUCAUUUAAAGAAAGCGUAAUAGCUCACUAGUCGAGUCGGCCUGCGCGGAAGAUGUAACGGGGCUAAAACUAGUCACCGAAGCUGCGGCAUUCAGGGAGCAGGUUUCAGGGUUCAGGCUACAGGAGUCAGGGCAUGGUAAAACGAUUUGAAGAUUUAAAUGUAUUUCAAAAAGCGUAUCGGGUUUCAUUAGAAAUUCAUCAAGCGACAUUAAAUUUUCCAAAAGUAGAACAAUUUGCCUUGGCUGACCAACUAAGACGUUCAAGUAAAAGCAUCUGUGCAAAUCUGGCAGAAGGUUUUGCGAAGCAACGUUCAUCUGCUGAGUUUAGACGUUAUAUUGCCAUGGCAAUAGGCAGUGCAGAUGAGACACGAGUUUGGUUAAGAUAUUGU